rnacentral:lncRNA from 1 species
GUUAUGAUCAACUCAGUAUACCACUGGAGGCUACAGGAGCAAACAGCAAACUGUUUCUCAUGAAAGCAGGAUGUUCAAAGCAGGAUGUUGGCAAAAUGACAAACUGCAUCUGCCACCCAGAAGGAAUGCUGAGGGCAGUCAUGCCCCAAGUGCAGUGUUUUUGUGAUUAGGCACAACUGAAGCUUGUUAGCAAUAAUAUGACCCUGUGAUUAAUUGAGCGGCUGACCAAUCAUUACCUCCUCCUCCCUGCUCUUUCUACCCAAUAAAUACAAAGGGCUGUGGAAGCUCAAUGGGCUGCCUUUGCUCAUUAGAAGCAGGGAGCUCUCUUCUUCUUCCCCUGGAUCCUUCCUUUAAAAUAGUUUCUUUUGUCUUAAGUUUUCAUUUCUACGUUUGUCCCUUCAUUCAGUCUCUUAAAUGACGGUCUCAAGCAGUAACAGUAGUAAUUGCUGUAAUGACGGUCUCAAGUAGUAACCAGGGCACUCUGCCACAAGUGGCACCUGAACAGGGACUAACAGGGACUAUCAAGAACAAACGGAGACCUGAAGAGACCUGAAGGGAACUGAAGAGGUCUGCAGGGACAAAUAGAGAUAAGUAGGGAUAAAUAGAGAUAAAUAGAGACAAAUAGAGAUAGGUAAGGAAUGACAGGGACUUGCAGGAAGUAACAGGGACCAUAGGGACAGAUAGGGAUAGAUAAAGACUAGCAAAGACUAGCCGAGAUUAGCAAAGACCAGCAAGGACUAGCAGAGACUAGCAAAGACUAGCAGAAACUUGCAGGGACAGGCAGAGACAGAUAGGGACAGAUAGGGUCCUACAGGGACUUGAACGAGGAAGAUCUGCUGGAAAAGAAAAGAACUACAACCAACCAGAUGAACAAGAAACCCUGUUACAAGUCUGCUGGCAGCAACAUAAGGAUGAUGCCCAUUCUAUUUCCUAGGAAGGGAUAAGUUUUAAGGCCUUAUAAAAAGUGACACAAAGUGAACCGGGUUCUAUAAAUUACCAUGGAAAGUGGUGAGCCAACGAUUUGGCAGAACAAAACCCUGAGGAUAUGCAAACAAAAGGGACUAUGGAAUUUGCAAUUGCAGAUUAAAAUUGAAGAAGAAAACAUUUGAGUUGCAAAUACCGUAUUAAAAGUGGACACUGCUUAUGACUGCUGUAUGCAACAGUUUUUCAGGCCCGAGAGGAACCCAGACAUGCUCUAUUUGCAAACCGACUGCAUGAAACAAAAAGCACGGUAAUUCUGAAGCUGUUGGCUUGGAUGAAAUGAGAAUGUAAUUAAAAAGAAAAAGGUUAGCAAAAGAACAUGCUGGGAAUUGAAAAUAAAAAUCUGAAAUGAUGUCCCAGCCUGCCCUUAAGGUCUUUUCCACCAUGUAGAGAGCUACCUCAAAUGCUCUACUUGUCCCAGAGUCUAUGUUCUUUCACUACUAUUGCCUAUAUCUGUGUUUUCUGCUUUCAAUAAUCUAUUGAAAUAAUCAAAAUUAAUUACAUUCAGCAUUUUUUCUGUAUUACUCUGAUUCUAAUAAUUACCUCAAAUUUAUUUGUGCAUUUCUAUACUAGAAAGAAAAAAUAAUUUUUAGAGUUUUACUAUAUCUUCCCCUUAAUUCUAAGUUGCUUGUCACUAAUUCCUUUCCCAACACUAUGUUAUUUCCACCAAGAACAUUACCAAUAUCUUCAGGAAAAUUCCACCCCAUAUUUUAAGCCAGAUUGAUUAUUGGGAAUAUAAAUACAUUUAAGAAGGAAAGUCUUUUUGACUGUGUUUCUCCACAGACCAAUAGUAUACAAAACACAGAAGGCUUUUAAGCACAUUUCAUAGGGAUCACUGACUUAGAACAGAAGGAACCAUUUCGUGAAACACUCUCAUUUUGCACAUAAAGGAGCUGUGGCCCACAGAGGAAUAUGAUUUACUGAGAGUGACCCAGUUAGUGGCCAUAAACCAAAAGCCCCAAGAUGCUAAAUGUUUGUUAUGAAGAGUAAAAAUCCUCCCAGUUUAUAAGAAGUAACUUCAUCCUUCCAUUUUCUAUUUCCACGAUGACUCCCCUGGCUUAAAUUUUAAUCUCUAUUUUGGAUGACUCCAAAAUCUCAUUCUUCUAAAUUAAUUAUCUAAUACCACAAUGUUGCACUUAUCUUCCUACAAAUCUACUUUCAUCUGCCUUGACAAAGCCAACCCUAAUUUUCUCUAGUCCUCAUUAGAAAUUAUUGCAACAAAAAUUCACAUCCAGUCUGAAGUUUGGGAGCCAGAAAAGAAUUUUCCCAUUAAGAUGAGACAGUAUCAAUUAUUAAGCAGAGGAAGACACAAGAGGGAAAGCAGCUUUCACAUGAAAAAAAAAGAACUCUGAUUUUCUGACACAUUUUGUCAUUGCAGUCAAACUUUCAGAGUUAGAACUAGAGACCUAGAUAUUAGCUAACCCAGCAUUUUCCAAGUAUUCCUCGGAACUCUAGAGGCACAGCAUAGUACUGGUAAUGAUUUUGUGGCAGGAUAGAUUAAGGAAACCUCACAGUUAUACCAAGUUAAAUUCAUUUAUUUCAUGUAAAAUUCUGAUAGCCUUUUAUGCUACUAGGCCUAGUGAUACUCCAAAAUUAUUGGCCAUAUAUCUGAAAUUUAUUUCAGCAAGAAACCCUUUAAAGAGCAUCCCGCAGAGUUAGUGUUUUGAGGGAUAUCAUUGGGGAAAAUGCUGAUCUAGACCAAUUCAACAAAUUGUAACUUAGUUAACACCAGAGUCAAAACAAAAACCAAGUCUACUCAUGUCUGUCUUAGGCCCUUUUGGUCACAAAAACACGUUCAAACCACUUCAAUUAAGAAAAUGGUGAGAGGGGAAAAGACAAGCAGGGAACCUUAUCCCAGGUGGGCUGAUCACAGGACUUCCAAGGCUGUCCCUUAGAAGAGUCACGAUAAUGGCAUCUCUAGCACAAAACUCAAAUUUAGUUUUAAUUCUUAGUCGAAUAAUAAUACAGUAAAAUUUAUUGCAUGCAUAAGGAUAAUACAUUAAAACUACUUAAAUUACAUUUUAGGGCCGGGCGCGGUGGCUCACGCCUGUAAUCCCAGCACUUUGGGAGGCCGAGGCGGGUGGAUCACGAGGUCAGGA